UCCCUGGUGGUUCAGUGGUUGGGGCACUGCGUUUCCACUGCAGAGGGCACAGGUUUGAUCCCUAGUCAAGGAA
rnacentral:tRNA from 1 species